rnacentral:lncRNA from 1 species
CCUAAGCCUGAGAAAACAGGGCCUCUGGCUUCUUGGCAGGGAGAGGUUCCAGAGAGUGCAGGGGAGGCCCUGCCUCCUUGGGUGGGGUGACCUGGGCCUCCUGGGACCUCAGUUCCCUGCCUGUGAAAAAGACGGACGGAGGUAGAGAAUCCCAGGGUGCCUUUCCAGGACUAAAGACGGUGCCUUCUUUAUGUAAAUUCCAUCCUUCGCAAGUUCACUGUGGAGCGCUCUCCCGGGGCCCAGUCUCUAGGCGCAGAACACCCAGCCAGGUGGUAGCUCUCCUUUGCAAAUUGUACUUUUUAAUGUGUCGUUGAGUUUGCUAAAGCAGGUUGCCCUGUGAGUAGAGUACAAGGCUGGUCGUCAGGCGGGGAGAGUGACAAUGUUUUGAAAUUGUUGAAUUUCCUGAGCAUGCACCAGGCUCAGUGUCUUGGAGCAGUGCGGGAAGGCUGGUGUUGCGGCGGCCUGAAGAAGCACAGCUGCAGAUGCUAACGCAGGCCUGGUGAGCAGGAAGCCGGGGCGUGGCUCAGGCGGAGGGGAGAGGCCGGGGCAGGUCUGGCCCGGCCAUGGGGGCCGGGCUCUGAGCUGGAGAGCAAGGAUGUGCCAUGUUCACCUUGAUAUUUGGGUUUUUGAAGAAAACCUGUAAAAGCUGUAAAACCCGAACCAUGAGGACACCCCAGGGGCACACAGUUCUGGAGGCUGAAAAUCAAGAUCAGGAUGCUGGCGUCUGACAAGGGCUUUCUUGCUGCAUCCUCACGUGGCGGAAAGUGGAAGGGCAAGAGAGAGCGAACCCAUCCUGAAAACCCCAGAUUACAGAGGCACUAAUCCAUUUAUGUGGGUGGAGCUCCCAUGACCCAAACACCUCCAAAGGCCCCACCUCCUGACAAUGUUGCACUGGGGAUUACAUUUCCAACACAUGAAUCUGGGGAGACAGAUUCAGACCACAGCAGAUGUCAAGGCUGGUUCAAAGGACAAUGUGAAGAACAAAGGCAUGCUGAAAUGAAUUUGAUAAUAGAUGCAAACUUGGGUAACAUCCUACAGGACAAUAAGGUGUAAGUAAUACUUGGGAUCAUCUUUCCUUAGACAUGAGCAUCAGUUGCAUCUACAGUGAACAACACUGAUUACAUUGCCAUAGAGGAAGCUUUGUGUUGCUCUCAGAUAAGAAGCAUGCACACUGCUGUAUUCUCUACAUGAACUUCUAUUCUACAGUUGUAAAAUAGUUCAGUCAAUAGAAAGCCAACCACAGAGACACACCUAGUGGUUUGUUUUUGCCUAUUUUUAAGUUUUUAAUAUUUUUUAUAACAGAUAUAACAUUGAAUCCAUAGUGAAGUUAAUCACUUUUUAAUUACCCAUUUUUCUAAUAAUUAAAUCAACAAGGGAGUCUCCUUUGGGUACCAAUCAAUCUCUAACCUUUCUAAACUUCUUGUUUGAAAAAGAGAAAGGCAGAAGUGGGCCUCAAGCAUGACGCCUUCAACUGACUGUACAAGCUAGCUGCAGUUUGAUGAUACUGUUGAAUUUUCUUUAUUAUAUUGUUACCUUUUAUUAAUGGCAAUGGAUAUAUUAGUUUUCCAUUUUUGGUUGAGAUAUGAGGCUUCCUUUAAAACAUAUUUAAGUAAAAAAGAAAAGUGAGUCAAUGUGUUUAAUUAAACAGCCAAAAGUAUUCAAAUGAUGAAUGAUAUAGAUGGGAUGAAUAGAAAGUCAUAGAAAAUUUAUGGUGAUCACUGAAGGUUGAGAAAAACCCAAUCUGAUGAGCACUCUGCUCCAUGUCAGGUCCUGCCUGUUGUGCUUGUCUCCCAGACUGUCUUUUAACUCUCACCUUCUUACAAAUAGUUGAAUCUUAAUAGCUAUUAUUACCUUACAUUUAACAAAAUAGGCAUAUGCAUAUUUUUUCAUUUUCUCCCUCUCCACUAAGGAAAACUUCAGAGAGAGAAAGAAUUUCUCCAGGGUCAAGCAUCCAGCUGAGCAUUCCAGUAGAGAAUGGCAGUGCUGGAAUCCCCCGCUGUUGUCCGGCUUCAAGACUCUUUUGCACUGUCUCCCAGCCCUGCUCCCAUGGGAGUUGUGGAGAAUUCCCAGGGUGAAGAAAGAACCUGGGGAUAGAGCCUCCUUUUUUCAUUUUUUCUUUCUUUUUUUUUUUUUUUUUGCGAUGGUCUUGCUCUGUCACCCAGGCUUGGAGUGCAGUGGUGUGAUCUUGGCUCACUGCAGCCUCAAUCUCCCAGGUUCAAGUGAUCCUUCCUCCUCAGUCUCCAGAGUAGCUGGGACUACAGGUAUGCACCACCAUGCCUGGCUAAUUUUUGUGUUUUUAGUAGAGAUGGGCUUUCAUCAUGUUGGCCAGACUGGUCUCAAACUCCUGACCUCAGGUGAUCCACCUGCCUCAGCCUCCCGAAGUGCUGGGAUUAUAGGCAUGAGCCACUGUGCCCGGCCUCAUUUUUCUUUUCCUUUUUACAGAAAUGGAAAUCACAUGGUAGGUCAUAAGGAGCUGACAGGGCUGGAGUUCCAGUGAGUAUCUGCCCCGGCAGUGCGGCAGCAGACGGGAAGGGUGGGAGGUCAUCUGAGCUGGUAGGGUGAGAACAAAUAUAAAUCUCAGGGGGGAUCCACAAGGGAGCCCAUGUCUUUGGUGCCACACAAAUGCAGUAAGAGCUGUGGACACCAGGGAAUACCAGGGAGUGUUUAAAAGCCCCACAGGCAGAACACACGCAGAGAAAGCAGGAGACUAGGCACUGUGGGUUCUUGGGAAAGAGCUGAUUUUAGUUGCAAAAGCAGAGGAAACCCCAGACAUUGCAUGGCUUUAGGCUUUAGGCUUUAGCCCCACCACCCUCACAAGUCUUCUGUCUCCAGGGGGCCAUCAGUGCCUCAGUUCCACUCGGUGCAGACCCCAGGGUUCUUCCCACCCCUGCAAGCCACCCAUCAGGGUGAACUGAGAGAUCAGCAGAGUCACUUACAACGAAGGGGAAUUGUUCUGGGCAUUGGUUAGUAAACAGGAGAGCAAAAGGGGAGAAGAAAAUUGUGUACAGGCGUUGAGCAUCUCUAGCCGAAGAAGGUGAGGCAUAGAGGUGUCUUACCACCAGGAACAGAUCUGAGUCAUGCAGCACCAAAAUACGUAUUUGAGUCAUGGCAUCAAAACGUUCCUGGUGGUGAAUUCAUGUCCGUGCGGGUCUGCAGCAAUCUCAAUUCUUGCCUCCUCAGAAGAAAGAAUUCGACUGAGGGGCAUGAGGCAGAAAGAGAGAUCGGAGCCAGUUUCAGAACAGGAGUGAAAGUUUAUUAAAAGGCUUUAGAACAUGAAUGAAAGGAAGGAAAGGAUACUUGGAGAAGGACCAAGCAGGCAUCUUGAAAGGCAAGUGCUUUUUUUUUUUUUUUUCAUUUUUUAACCCCUUCCUAAUGUCACUGGAAUAAGAGGCCUGUCCCAGACCCCAAGAGCGGGUUCUUGGAUGUUGGAUGAGGAACAAUUCCAGGUGAGUGGCAGAGUAUAGUAAAGUUAAAAUCGUUUAUCAGAGACCACUCGGUUACAGAGUAGGAUGUCCUCCAAAAGCAAGAGAAGGAACGCGCACACCUUAAAUACGAUUCUUAUUUAUAUAGGUUAACAGAGCUAAGAAGAGAGGUCUUUUGUGCUUUAUUACAGAGGCUGGUGAUCAGCUUCUGACAGGCUAUUAGUAUUAUUUUCCUAUGUUACUACUGAUUUCAGCAAGGAUUUACGAAUGUACUAUUAACCUUAAAUCAAAACCUACUCUUAAACUAAGAAUGCUUUUUGUUCUUAAAAUAUUAAGAGAUUGCCAUAAAAUUCUGCGUCUUUAUUUAGUUAGCAUCAUUAACUUGUUCCCUCAACCAUAAACAUCUUGUGCCCAAGAGUGCCUACCCCCUGGGGGUGUAACCCUGCAGGCAUGGCUAUAUCCCACAUUUAUUAAAG